UACGUAGGCAGCAAGCGUUGUUCGGAGUUACUGGGCGUAAAGGGUGUGUAGGCGGUUAUUUAAGUUUGGUGUGAAAUCUCCCGGCUUAACUGGGAGGGUGCGGUGGAAACUGGGGUGCUUGAGUGUGGGAGAGGUAAGCGGAAUUCCUGGUGUAGCGGUGAAAUGCGUAGAUAUCAGGAGGAACACCGGUGGUGUAGACGGCUUACUGGACCACGACUGACACUGAGGCACGAAAGCGUGGGUAGCAAACAGG
rnacentral:rRNA from 1 species